rnacentral:rRNA from 1 species
AGUGAACGCUGGCGGUAGGCCUAACACAUGCAAGUCGAACGGCAGCACAGGAGAGCUUGCUCUCUGGGUGGCGAGUGGCGGACGGGUGAGGAAUACAUCGGAAUCUACCUUUUCGUGGGGGAUAACGUAGGGAAACUUACGCUAAUACCGCAUACGACCUACGGGUGAAAGCAGGGGACCUUCGGGCCUUGCGCGAUUGAAUGAGCCGAUGUCGGAUUAGCUAGUUGGCGGGGUAAAGGCCCACCAAGGCGACGUUCCGUAGCUGGUCUGAGAGGAGAAUCAGCCAAACUGGAACUGAGAAAGGGUCCAGACGCCUACGGGAGGCAGCAGUGGGGAAUAUUGGACAAGGGGCGCAAGCCUGAUCCAGCCAUACCGGGUGGGUGAGGAAGGCCUUCGGGUUUUAAAGCCCUUUGUUGGGAAAGAAAUCCAGCCGGCUAAUACCUGGUUGGGAUGACGGUACCCAAAGAAUAAGCACCGGCUAACUUCGUGCCAGCCGCCGCGGUAAGAC